rnacentral:sRNA from 1 species
UUUUUUCUCAUUUACGUUUAUCUAUAUCUUUAAAAAUUGCUACAAUAGUAUAUGUUAAUUGAGUAAUUCAAAAGAACCAGUAAUGAUAAUUACAAAAUUUCGUAACUGUUUUAUUGGUUUUGAAUCCUUCAGACCACUGGAAUGCCCUACCAAUCCUGUGGCUAAUUCAAAAUCUGGCCCAGAAUUGUCAUUCCCUCCAAAAUGUCAUCUGCCAGCGAGGAUAUGGGCCCCAAACAUUUUGACCUUCACAGCGUUGGUAUUUAAUGAAUGUUGCCGAAGGCAAGUACUUCAUAUGGUGUUGCAACUUCUUCCCUUGCAGGAAUGGUCUGCCGAAAACCGACCGACCCUGUUGAUUGGCCGCCACUUGUCCUGGGACUGCUCACUCUGCUGAAGCAGUUCCAUUCCCGGUACACCGAGCAGUUCCUGGCGCUGAUCGGCCAGUUUAUCUGCUCCACGGUGGAGCAGUGUACAAGCCAGAAGAUACCUGAAAUUCCUGCAGAUGUUGUGGGUGCCCUUCUGUUCCUGGAGGAUUAUGUUCGGUACACAAAGCUACCCAGGAGGGUUGCUGAAGCACAUGUGCCUAAUUUCAUUUUUGAUGAGUUCAGAACAGUGCUAUAACUGUUUUUUCCUACUUCUUCAAUGGAAGGAUUGUUCUUAGAUCUUCCCACCAUCACUAAAAUGAAUUUGAAGAUGAAAAGAAACUCAGUUGCUCAUAUAACUGCAUUUUUUGCUAUUAUGGGAAACAUCAGACGUUCGGAGUAAGAUAUAUCUCAUGGCAUUAGUUAACAUAACUGAUAUUGUUUAAAUCACGGUAUUACAUGCAAUUUAUAUCAUGUAAAAGCAGAACCCAUUUUUGUACUGCCUCUCUUAAAUGCCGAAUGUAACUGUUAUAUAUAAAUCCAUUUAGUUUUAUGUUCUAAAGAACUAUUUGUGCAACUCCAGAUUUUCAGUAAAAUAGUAUUACUAGUACCCAAA